rnacentral:rRNA from 1 species
GGGAGCUCCAAAUCACACCCACCAGAUCACAUGACCCCCAAGAGGCCAAGAGCUCCCUCCCUCGCCUAUAAAUGAGAGGCAAAAGUCAUCAGACCCUUAGGCAACAAAGGUCAGCUUCCUUCUCUCCCUACUAGCUUCAUUCUUCUUCUCCCAAACAGACUGGAGUUCAUUAAGGAUCUCGUCCUGAAACUGGAGCCCACAAGCACUCAAAGGAAGAAGAGCAAGAAGACGGGCUCCCAGCCGAUACAAGGUAGGAGCGAACAACGUUAGGGUACUGUCGUUAUAUCCUGAGUUGAUAUGGUGACAGUGAGAGAAGAGACACGCAAAGGGCCAUGGACAGAGCAGGAGGACAUGCAACUGGUAUGCACUGUCCGUUUGUUCGGUGAACGCCGUUGGGAUUUCAUUGCCAAAGUAUCAGGUUUGAGGGGUGGGGGAUCCAAAAAUUAGGUAGCUAUAUUGAAGUAUUUUGCGCAAAGUCGCAACAACAAAUGUCACCUUUGCUAAUAACUUUCUUCUUGCUUCAACCUCUGUAAUCUCCAUGCAGGCCUCAACCGCACAGGAAAGAGCUGUCGCCUCCGGUGGGUUAACUACCUCCACCCUGGCCUAAAGCGUGGGCGCAUGACUCCCCAUGAAGAACGCCUCAUCCUCGAGCUCCAUGCUCGGUGGGGAAACAGGUGGUCCAGGAUAGCACGGAAGCUGCCAGGGCGUACCGACAAUGAGAUCAAGAACUACUGGAGAACACAUAUGAGGAAGAAAGCACAGGAGAGGAAGAGGAACGUGUCACCCUCAUCAUCUUCAUCCUCAGUGACAUACCAAUCCAUUCAGCCACAGACGCCAUCGAUCAUGGGAAUUGGCGAGCAGGAGCUUCAUGGUGGCAGUAGCUGCAUCACAAGCAUAUUGAAGGGCACGCCUGCUGACAUGGAUGGAUACCUCAUGGAUCAGAUAUGGAUGGAGAUUGAGGCACCCUCUGGGGUCAACUUUCAUGACGGGAAGGAUAAUUCAUACAGCAGCCCCUCUGGUCCUCUGCUACCAUCACCGAUGUGGGAUUACUACAGCCCUGAGGCAGGCUGGAAGAUGGAUGAGAUAAAGAUGGCCCCACAAGUUAGCUACAGUAAAGGAAUUGGCCCCAGUUAUUGAAGCCAUAUAUAUUGUAUCAGAUUACUAAGUUACUUGCAACCUAGCAGAAGUGAAAUGCUUUUGUUGAAAGAACCAUUAGCAUGGAUCUAAAAAGUAUUCAUAUCUAUCUAGCAUUCCAAGUGUGCUCAUGUUUUAUGUAUCUACUAUGUAGCAUCUAGUGUGCAAGACAUGUAAUGCAAGGACACUUCCACUCUGUAUUCACAAUAAUCAGCUAUCUCCUGUAAGACUUUUCCAAUGCAAACAUGAUUAGCAGGUGUUAUAUCAAC